rnacentral:lncRNA from 1 species
UUCAAAUUGCAACCAAACACAGCACGAUAUUACCCAGGAAAGAUUGGUUGACAUGCACAUGAAAGUCGACAGAAAGGAUCAACUGUGACAAAAAUACCCUAUUGUUCUCAAGGCCACAAGGAUAUAUACCACUUUCUCUCAGGCAAUAUCCACAAAAUUUUAGCAUUAUUUGGAAAUUAAGAACAAAUAUUUUUUUGUCUUCAUACAAACCAACAUGAAUGGAUGCGCGAGGAAAAUAAACAGAUAUUCACAGAGCAAUGUACUCAUAGGAAGAAAUGUACAGGAGGCUCCUCAGCAAUCUCCACCUUCUUCGCUAGUAACGGAUCGAUGAUUCCUUUCCAUCCUUGGUAGUCUGGAGGCGAACCCUUGUCGGGUAAGGCAAAUCCAUUUAGAAACAAAAUAGGCGUCCAGUAAACCCCUCGCAAGGAAAAUAAGAUUAUGUUAAUUAACAAUUGGUAUUGAAUACAAGAAAAACCAUAGGUAACCAAUAACUGCUACCUAAUCCAGUUUACAGAAAAAUAGAUGCCAAUCAUAGGAAUACAAAAGAAUCAGUCGGUUGAAAUGCAUUAGAAAUAUUCCUCAUUUUAUUCAUCUUUAUUACAAAAAGUUUUCUCUACUCCCAUAGUUCAACUCACAUUAUUGGUCCGUUGGAAAAGAUUUAUGCUUUUACUUUCACUUUUUUAAGAAGAGUUUUCCAAGGAAGCUUCCUUAAUUUAGCUUUCUCUAAAAACUCUUUUAAUCAAACAAAGUAUUUUUAAAAAUUAUUCAAACAUCUUCAAAAACAAUUUUUUAGUUUCAGAAACAGCUUUUGACAUUUCAAAAACUUUACCUAAUGGGCAUAUAUGUUCGUAGUUGACCCCAUCAAGAGGGUGGUAUACAAAUUUUUUGAGGCUAUAUUGCCCUCAACUGCCAGGAUAUUUAACUAAAAAAUUUGCAUAUAACCAAGUUAAAACACACUUCAACAGUACAAUUUUCUCAACAAUAAAUACAAUAUAGAGAUUCCACAACAAUAAAGAAUGAUAGAGUUUUCAUUACGAGCUUCUAUCUAUCGAAUGAAAGAGAAAACAAGCGGAAGUAUAUCAACUCCGGGAUCUAUAAACAGGUGGGCAAGGCAUGCGUGUUUUGCUUUAUAUUACAAUAGUGCAUAAUAUAAAAUAAAGCUAUUUUAAGAAAUCUUUAGCUUCCCACAAUCAAAAUCAGCCAUUCUCAUCAAAAUCCCAACAGUAUAUUUAGACAAAAAGGAUUUCCUCAAGAAACUGAUCACCUUGCCAUUGCUCUCUUGUAUCAUUCCAACAAUAUAGGCCGUGCUUAUAAGACUAAAACUUCUCCAUCUCCUCUCUUUUGCAUACUUUUGCAGCCCCCUUUCCAUUUUCACAUAUUCUCCAUCUUCUUUAUCGUUGCCAGAUGCCUUUGUCAAUAAAGUUUCUGCAAGGCAUUUUGCAAGAAUGACACUAUCUUCUAAAGCUGAACACCCACCUUGACCAAUAUCUGGUGUCAUGGGAUGAAAGGCGUCGCCAACUACACAAACAUUGUUGUGAACAAUAUGUCCAAGUAGAAUAUUCCAUGGUGAUCUAAACUUUAGAGGAGAAUAAGAAAUGCAAUCAAGCUCGGUUCUCUCUACAAUAUCAGAUACUUGUUUCGGAGCAUUCUGAAUAUUGCUUAAUACAAAUUGCUUCAUUUUGAGCGGAUUUUGCUCGUUUUCAUCAUCUGCAGUAAAUGGAGAGGAGAAACUCCGUUAAAUGAAUACAAUGCAAAAUUUAUUCAUAUGGUAUUCAACUUCUAGGCUUAAAUUUUACUGAAAGUAUUAACUUUUGUCAUGAGACUUGGAACAAUAAGUCAAACUGCUUACAAUUGAAAAUCGAUGGAGUAAGUGUGCAAAACCAAUAUAUGCUCUUGUCAUCACAAGGAACAAAACCAUAACGAAUUCCUCCUCCAAAAUAUGCGUGGAACUUCGCCUCAAAGCCAUGGCCAUUGGGGUAGCUAAGAAAGCCUCUAAUUGAUGAUCGUCCAACAUUAACGGGAUUCUGAAGUCCCAACCACUUUGCCACGAUUGAAUUGAUUCCAUCACAUCCAAUCAAGACCUUAAACAAGAUCAGAAUAUAAUUAGUCGGUCGAGAAUGAAGCAUAAGAUCUACGUAUUAAUCAAUUUAUGCAUCAAUAAAUACCAGAUUACAAACAAACAUUGGGAAGCUAUAUGUUCAAAUAACACGAAUUUACCUUGGUUUUGAUAACUGAACCAUCUGCAAGGUGCACCAAUUUGAAAUUUCCCAAUUGCUCUAUGGAAACGAGCUCAGAAGAAUAUCUAAUAGUUCCUUUCGGUAGUUCUUUCUCUAAGGUUUCUAGUAAAUCUUUCCUUUUCACACGUCUGAUUUCAGUGCUUCCCCUGCAUCAUAUCACAAUCGUCCAUAAACAGCCUGAUUUCCAGAUUUUUAACCCACCACCACCACCACCGCUGUCCCCAUGGUCACGAAAAAGAAUGAAUUCUUAUUUUCUGUUUAAAUCUUUGAAAAUCAGCAUUAUUUACGAAAUUUUCUCUGAUUAUAAAUAGUUUGACAACAUAUAUCUGGAAUAAGCAAGUUAGACAAUGGACCAAAUUCGGGAGAGAAAAUGAAAAUUGGUCAAUUGGCAAGUAUGGAAUCGCUUUUCUUUGAUACUAUUUUAUUGAAAAAUGCUUAAAAUACAGGCAUUUUUCAAGAGUUCAAGCUAGCCCCUGUGUUGGUUAGGGGAAGAGGGCAUUUCCAUUGCCAAGGAUUCUGUUUUACACAUCUUCCCUAUAUUAAAUAAGAAUAAUGCUAUUUAGCAUCAAUUAUCUAGUAUCAAUCUAAAUGACAAUGGAGGUCCACCUAUAUUUAUCCAAUAGACAUGUUUUGGUUGGAUGAGCCACCAAGAGUAGUGAUUAGCAUGAUUGAUGCUAAAUAGUAUUAUUCAAUAAAUAAUUAAUGGCGCUAAAUAGUAUUAUUCAAUAAAUAAUUUCAAAGUAUCCCUUGAAAACUUUUCAAAUCUAAAUUCAUUAAGACAUCAUCCAAUCCAUGAUACUAAACAGUAAAUACUCUUGUAGAGGAUCAACCAAAGGCCAAUAUCGACAAGAAUAAGAAUCAAUAGUUGCAACAUUGUCUAUAAUUCUCUAUUAUGUUACAAUCCUCGACAAAGUUCAAGAAGUUAAAUUUUUUUUGUCGAGUCUUUCACUUAAAAAUGUGAACACAAAUUGUUCUCCGAACAAAGAAUAAGACAAAAUCGUGAGGAGACCAAAAAAUACUCACAAAUCCACUUCAGCCUGGGGGGGUUUCUCUGAAGAGGGCAGCCUUGAAUCCAGAGAACAAAUCUGAAACCUGCACCAACAAAAACAGCAAGCAAAUUCAAAAAUCAUGAGCGCAGUACCAGUAUAUCAAGCCAACCUCAGCGAUUAAUUUGAAACCAUACCCAUUAAUUUGCACAGACUUAGUCCUGAGAUGCUCUCCAAUGCCGAGGGCAUCAAGUGCCCUCCAGGCAUUAGUCCACAUGGCAAGAGCAAACCCAGAGAUCCUUAAACUGUCCGAUGAUUCCAAUACCAGGCUUCGAAUUCCCAACCUAUAAUAAUGUAAAUACAUACAAUACUUAUAAUUUAGUUGUAAAGUAUAAUUUUGAAGCUUUAAACAUGCAGAUUUUCAUAUACCUGUGAAGCCCCAAAGCCGUAGAGAGACCGGAUAUACCAGCACCCACUAUUAAAAUCUGUUCAUCGAUCACCAUUUCUUUUUGCUGCAUACUUUCAAUCAACUUUUCUUUUAAUAGAAUGGAUGAGAAUUGGAGCCUGGAAUAGAAGGGAAAUUUAUUUGGAUAGUGUGAUUCAAGAUAUUUGUGUUGGAGAAAGCAGAUUACUUUACAGUGAUCAAUGAGGAGUCGAAGACCCGACAGGAGAAAUUUGAUUAAGGAAAAUCUCAAAGUGACCGAAUUUUGGUGAUCAACAGUGUGGAUACAUGUGAAUAAAAUAAUGUCCGACUAAUGAAGUCUGAGUGUUCGAUCAUUCCGCAUAUAAAGAAUUAUAUUUGUGAAGUAUGGUUGUUUGAUUAAUGAUGCGGCCAGUUAAUAAAUAAUUGGAAAGGGAAGCUUCUAAUGAUUCGGAGAAUGUACAACAAUUACAGCCAAACGCACAAUUACAUCAUAGCGGAGAAUAAGAUAACGGAUGACGUUAGUCAAUUUAGGCUUCUUUCUCUUCUGCUGCGAAGCUGCGUAGAAUUCAUCUACCGCAAGAUUAAGAGCAUUGUUAAUAUUUUAUUAAAUGAUAAAAUCGUUAACUUCUUUAAUUUUUUUAAACUGUCCCAUAUUGUCGAAUUAGCUCCCAUUUGAGCUCCUUUUGUAGAAUAAAUUUGGUAAGAAGUAAUUUUUCAUUUGCAAAAUUAUUUUAGUAGAAAAAAUUAUCUAUAUUUUGUAUCAUAAAAUUCCCCAAAUUGAAGAUGCGACAAGAGCUAGUGCCUUCACAAAUAAAACACGAGCAUAUUUGGUAUGUUAGAAGUGAUUAUAACUGGCCAUGUUAUGGAAAUUUCUUCUUUAUAGAGUCUUUUACUUCCUUUGUCUUCAAGAAACUUCUAGUCUAUGAUCGAAGCAAACGUCAAUUAGCGAAAGUAUAGGAAUUCAAAUUACAACCAAACACAUCAGAACAUUACCCAGGAAAGAAUGAUUGUCAUGCACACGACAAUCGCCGGAAAUGAUCAACUGUGGCAAAAUCACCCCAGUGUUCUCAAGGCCACAAGGAUAUAUGUCAUUUUCUAUAUAGUAAUACAAUUUAGCACCACUAGUGUAAAGCAUCAGCUUAAUAGCAACUACGUGACAUUAAAUGAUACUCACUGAGAUGUACAUGAUUCAUUUAAUUGAACCAAUCAAAUGUGGUCAUGUAGACUGGUGUUAUAACAUCACCAAUGCAAGAUAGAAUUAUUCUUUUCAAUCAGGCAAUUUCCAGAUAUUUUAGCAUUAUUUGGAAAUUAAAAACAAAUAUUUUUGUCUUCAUACCAACCAACACGAAUGGAUGCACGAGGAAAAUUAACAGAUAUUCACCGAGCAAUUUACUCAUGAAGAAAUGUACAGGAGUCUCCUAUGCAAUCUCCACCUUCUUCGCCAGUAGCUAAUCGAUGAUUCCUUUCCAUCCUUGGCAGUCUAGAGGUGAACCCGAGUCGGGUAAGGCAAAUCCAUUUACAAAGAAAAUAGGCGUCCCAUAGACCCCUCGUGAGCUACCAUACAGUGAAAACAAGCUAGUAAGAUUGGAUAUAGGAGUUCUUAAGCUGAAACAAUAAAACGAAAUAACUGCCAUGAAAAAUAGGUAACCCUGCA